rnacentral:rRNA from 1 species
CCUACGGGUGGCAGCAGUGAGGAAUAUUGGUCAAUGGACGAGAGUCUGAACCAGCCAAGUAGCGUGAAGGAUGACUGCCCUAUGGGUUGUAAACUUCUUUUAUAAAGGAAUAAAACGAGGCACGUGUGCCUUUUUGCAUGUACUUUAUGAAUAAGGAUCGGCUAACUCCGUGCCAGCAGCCACGGUAAUACGGAGGAUCCGAGCGUUAUCCGGAUUUAUUGGGUUUAAAGGGAGGGUAGAUGGGGUGUUAAGUCAGUUGUGAAAGUUUGCGGCUUAACCGUAAAAUUGCAAUGGAUACUGGCAGUCGUGAGUACAGUAGAGGUAGGCGGAAUUCGUGGUGUAGCGGUGAAAUGCUUAGAUAUCACGAAGAACCCCGAUUGCGAAGGCAGCUUACUAAACUGUGACUGACAUUGAUGCUCGAAAGUGUGGGUAUCAAACAGGAUUAGAUACCCCUGUAGUC